rnacentral:rRNA from 1 species
CGGUAAUUCCAGCUCCAAUAGCGUAUACUAACGUUGUUGCAGUUAAAAAGCUCGUAGUUGGAUUUCUGAUCUUUGCCAAUGGUUGUGUCGCCGCGUGCGAGGCGCCUUGCGCAGAGGUCAACAUAUGUCACGAGCCAGUGUGAUCUAUUCAUUUAGGUCCACUGGGUAAUGACUCGUUUACUUUGAGAAAAUUAGAGUGUUCAAAGCAGGCAUUUGCCUUGAAUAUGUUAGCAUGGAAUAAUAGCAUAGGACUUCGGUUCUAUUUGUUGGUUGUUCGAGAACUGGAGUAAUGAUUGAUAGGGACGGUUGGGGGCAUCCGUAUUCUCAAGCGAGAGGUGAAAUUCUUGGACCUUGGGAAGACGAACAGCUGCGAAAGCGUUUGCCUAGGACGUUCUCUUUAAUCAAGAACGAAAGUUGGGGGAUCGAAGACGAUCAGAUACCGUCGUAGUCUCAACUAUAAACUAUGCCAGCUAGGGAUCGGUGGGUCUUUGUCACGAGUUCAUCGGCACCUUACGAGAAAUCAAAGCAUUUGGGUUCCGGGGGGAGUAUGGUCGCAAGGCUGAAACUUAAAGGAAUUGACGGAAGGGCACCACCAGGAGUGGAGCCUGUGGCUUAAUUUGACUCAACACGGGAAAACUUACCAGGUCCGGACAUAGUAAGGAUUGACAGAUUGAAAGCUCUUUCUUGAUUCUAUGGGUGGUGGUGCAUGGCCGUUCUUAGUUGGUGGAGUGAUUUGUCUGGUUAAUUCCGUUAACGAACGAGACCCGCGCCUGCUAAAUAGUCGGCCUCACUUCUGUGGGUGUUGUACUUCUUAGAGGGACCAUCCUGGGUAUACCGGAAGGAAGUUGCGGGCAAUAACAGGUCUGUGAUGCCCUUAGAUGUUCUGGGCUGCACACGGGCUACACUGCAAGAUACAACAAGCGUCGAUCACGCCUGACUGGAAGGUCCGGCCAAUCUUUGAAUAUCUUGCGUGAUUGGGAUAGACCAUUGCAAUUAUUGGUCUUCAACGAGGAAUUCCUAGUAAACGCGUGUCAACAACACGCAUUGAUUACGUCCCUGCCCCUUGUACACACCGCCC